rnacentral:lncRNA from 1 species
AGAAAUAUUCCAAUGUUAUAAUAAAUGGAUGGAAACACAAAGGAAUAAACAUCAAUGGAGAAUAUUUCAAUCACCUGAGAUUUACAAACAAUAUAGUACUGUUCACCAAACACCAAAUGAACUACAUGAAAUGCUAAGUGAUCAAGACAGAAAGUGACUGCAAAAAUAGGACUGAAAAUGAACUAUGAGAAGACAAUGCUCAACACAAAAGUAAAUUCACAACCAGUAAUGAUAGAAAGUUGGACAAUUGAGAGUGGAAGAAUAUUAGUACUUAGGACAAAUAAUCACAACACCAGGAGAAUAAAUGAGAGAAAUUCAACACAAAAAGCAAUUGGAGUGGUAUGCAUAUGGCUGAUAUAUCAACUUGAGAUAAUAAGAUAUCAAUAUGGCUUGAAAAGAGACUUUGAUAUAUGCAUAUUACCAAUAAUGACAUGGUUGUGAAACAUGGAUCCUUAUAAAGAAAAUGGAACAGAAAUUAGCAACAAAAGAUGAAAG